rnacentral:lncRNA from 1 species
CAUCAACAACUCCUCUCCAAACUUAACAUCAAAAUAGCCAUCAUGAGCAGCAAAACCUCAGUCUCCCUUCUUUUCUUCGUUUGCUUCGUGGGCUUGCUCAUUAGUGGCAUAGCCAUAGACUCUGAUGCUGAACAAACUGCAGCAUUUUAUAGCAAUUACUUAGCCGCCUAUCAAAAGUAUGCAGAGAAUGUUGCAAGCAAGAUGAACAACAAUGGCAUCCAUUCCGAACUCCUAUUUUUUCCUCCCCCAAUCUUUUUCCCAUUUCCAUGGCAUUUUCCUCCACUUCCAAUUAUAUCGCCUUUUCCUCCACUCCCUGGCAUCGGUGGUUUUCCAUUUCCUCAACACCCUCCACCACCAUCUGGUGGUGAUGGCAGCAAGAGCCCUCCAGGUCCUCCACAAGGUUUUCCACAUCUUCCGUUUCCAUGGCCUUUUCCUCAUCCACCGGCCGCUGGCACUCCAUCCCCUUCAUCCGGUGGCAAAGCCCCUCCAAGUCCUCCACAAGGUUUUCCAUUUCCUCAUCUUCCAUUUCCAUGGCCUUUUCCUCAUGCACCUGCCGCUGGCACUCCAUCCCCUCCAUCCGGCGACAAAGCCCCUCCAAGCCCUCCACAAGGUUUUCCAUUUCCUCAUCUUCCAUUUCCAUGGCCUUUCCCUCAUCCACCUGCCGCUGGCACUCCAUCCCCUCCAUCCGGCGACAAAGCCCCUCCAAGUCCUCCAGCCAAAAGUCCUCCUGCUGGC